GGCGCUGCGCCGAUUGGAAGUUCCAUCACGACCGUCACCAGCACAGGGCCAAACCGAGAAACCGGGACGCGGGGGCCGCCGCCACUCAGUCCCUCCUCCGCCGCCGCCGCUCCACUUCUCCAACAGCCGUCGCUCGGGCGCGCGCGCGCCGCCCGCCGCUCCGCGGUCCGCCUUCAGCAAGGGACUCCUCGGCGGCCGCGGCAGCCACCUCCUCCGCCUCCUCCUCCUCCGCGGCGGCGGCGGCGGCUCCCGCAGGCAUCCACAGUCCCGCCUCCUCCCUUCAUUUCCUUGUUUUGGAACCUGGUGGGCCGCGCCGCGGCUUUCUCGAACUCAUUAAGGAACCAAGCGGCCCGCCCCAAGGUCGCGAGCCGUUCUGGGAAAUGUAGUUCAAGAGGGCUCGUGAGUCGGGCUACCUCCUCCGGAGCGAGGAAUACAGUUCCCAGAGUUCCUGGGGCCUUUUGGGCCACGCCUCCACAAGGCAUAUACGCCUGCGCACUGCCGCCGCCCCACCCCCUCAGGUAGCGCGCGACUGCUGUUCCUGUAA
rnacentral:lncRNA from 1 species